GACGAACGCUGGCGGCGUGCUUAACACAUGCCAGUCGAACGGAAAGGCCCUGCUUGCAGGGUACUCGAGUGGCGAACGGGUGAGUAACACGUGGGUGAUCUGCCCUGCACUUCGGGAUAAGCCUGGGAAACUGGGUCUAAUACCGGAUAGGAGCCAUUUUUAGUGUGAUGGUUGGAAAGUUUUUUCGGUGUAGGAUGAGCUCGCGGCCUAUCAGCUUGUUGGUGGGGUAAUGGCCUACCAAGGCGGCGACGGGUAGCCGGCCUGAGAGGGUGGACGGCCACAUUGGGACUGAGAUACGGCCCAGACUCCUACGGGAGGCAGCAGGGGGGAAGAUUGCACAAUGGGCGCAAGCCUGAUGCAGCGACGCCGCGUGGGGGAUGACGGCCUUCGGGUUGGAAACUCCUUUCGCUAGGGACGAAGCUUUUUGUGACGGUACCUAGAUAAGAAGCACCGGCUAACUACGUG
rnacentral:rRNA from 1 species